CACGUAGGGCGCAAGCGUUGUCCGGAAUUAUUGGGCGUAAAGAGCUCGUAGGCGGUCUGUUGCGUCCGCUGUGAAAACUCGGGGCUUAACCCCGAGCCUGCAGUGGAUACGGGCAGACUAGAGGUAGGUAGGGGAGAAUGGAAUUCCCGGUGUAGCGGUGAAAUGCGCAGAUAUCGGGAGGAACACCGGUGGCGAAGGCGGUUCUCUGGGCCACAACUGACGCUGAGGCGCGAAAGCUAGGGGAGCAAACAGG
rnacentral:rRNA from 1 species